UGAGGAAUAUUGGUCAAUGGGCGCAAGCCUGAACCAGCCAUCCCGCGUGCAGGAAGACGGCCCUAUGGGUUGUAAACUACUUUUCCAGGGGGAGAAUUUUUCUGUCGUGACAGGAAUUGACGGUACCCUGGGAAUAAGCAUCGGCUAACUCCGUGCCAGCAGCCGCGGUAAUACGGAGGAUGCGAGCGUUAUCCGGAUUUAUUGGGUUUAAAGGGUGCGUAGGCGGAUAGAUAAGUCAGUGGUGAAAACCUGCAGCUUAACUGUAGACUUGCCGUUGAUACUGUCAGUCUUGAGUAUGGUCAAGGUAGGCGGAAUGUGUAAUGUAGCGAUGAAAUGCUUAGAUAUUCGGAGGAACACCAGUGGCGAAGGCGGCCUACUGGGCUCUAACUGACGCUGAGGCUCGAAAGUGUGGGGAGCAAACA
rnacentral:rRNA from 1 species